rnacentral:misc_RNA from 1 species
GAUGAAGAACGUAGCGAAAUGCGAUAAGUAAUGUGAAUUGCAGAAUUCAGUGAAUCAUCGAAUCUUUGAACGCACAUUGCGCCCGCCAGUAUUCUGGCGGGCAUGCCUGUUCGAGCGUCAUUUCAACCCUCAAGACCCCUUCGGGGGACUUGGUGUUGGGGACCGGCUGUUCCCGGCCUGCUUCUUGCAGCGCCUUUAUGCCGCCCCCGAAAUGAAUUGGCGGCCUCGUCGCGGCCUCCCCUGCGUAGUAGCACAACCUCGCAACGGGAACGUGACGGCGGCCACUGCCGUAAAACAACCCAAUUUUAUUAGAGUUGACCUCGAAUCAGGUAGGAAUACCCGCUGAACUUAAGCAUAUCAAUAAGCGGAGGA